rnacentral:tRNA from 2 species
GGAGAGGUGGCUGAGUGGUCGAAAGCGGCAGAUUGCUAAUCUGUUGUAGGGUUUAUGCCUUACCGAGGGUUCGAAUCCCUCCCUCUCCG